rnacentral:rRNA from 1 species
UACGAAGGGUGCAAGCGUUAUUCGGAAUUACUGGGCGUAAAGCGUGCGUAGGCGGUGAUUUAAGUCUGCUGUGAAAUCCCCGGGCUCAACCUGGGAAUGGCAGUGGAUACUGGAUCGCUAGAGUGUGAUAGAGGAUGGUGGAAUUCCCGGUGUAGCGGUGAAAUGCGUAGAGAUCGGGAGGAACAUCAGUGGCGAAGGCGGCCAUCUGGAUCAACACUGACGCUGAGGCACGAAAGCGUGGGGAGCAAACAGG